rnacentral:rRNA from 1 species
AUUGAACGCUGGCGGCAUGCUUUACACAUGCAAGUCGAACGGCAGCGCGGGCUUCGGCCUGGCGGCGAGUGGCGCACGGGUGAGUAAUGCAUCGGAACGUGCCCAGUAGUGGGGGAUAGCCCGGCGAAAGCCGGAUUAAUACCGCAUACGACCUGAGGGUGCAAGCGGGGGACCGAAAGGCCUCGCGCUAUUGGAGCGGCCGAUGUCGGAUUAGCUAGUUGGUGGGGUAAAGGCUUACCAAGGCGACGAUCCGUAGCUGGUCUGAGAGGGCGACCAGCCACACGGGGACUGAGACACGGCCCAGACUCCUACGGGAGGCAGCAGUGGGGAAUUGUGGACAAUGGGGGCAACCCUGAUCCAGCCAUGCCGCGUGCGGGAAGAAGGCCUUCGGGUUGUAAACCGCUUUUGUGCGGGAAGAAAUCCUCUGGGCUAAUACCCCGGGGGGAUGACGGUACCGGAAGAAUAAGCACCGGCUAACUACGUG